AAAGUGUGGCAAGUAAUGUGCUAAUCGGAUUAGGUCAUUAGGUACAGACCAAUCAGAAGCAAAUGCUCAUUUUUUGAAGUACUGUAUUAGUUGCUGUAUGUUGGCUUCAUACACAGUUUACAUACUACAGAAUUUAUCAGCACUAUCAAAUAAAUGGUUUUCAAUCCAUUGAAAGGAAGUCAUGUUUGUUGCAAUAUAUUGUUUGUGGUAGACACUGGGAAAAAACCAACUAUUGAAUGUGUAUUUAUUUGUCUCCUGGUACAAAACUGAUGGAAGAGCAGCCAUGAUGAAGCAGUAAAAAGGCAUAUAAAAAAUUUUAUUUUAUGAGAAUAUAUACUGCACAUUUGCUAAUACCACUAUCACACAUCAGUUCUUGGAUACCUUGCUUCAAUACCUCUGGUUGGACAAGAAAAGACCUGGCUAAGGAUAGUAGAGGGUCAAAUAAUUUAUCACCAAGAAAGUUACUGAUUUAAACCGAAUCCUGUAACGCGAAAGAUUCUUAAUUAUGCUAAGUGUGCAAUAUUAGGUCAGUUAAGUUAUACCUCCAUGGUUAAAACGACAGUAAUGCAUGAUAGGUAUAUUUUGAAAUCUACACAUAGUAGCUGUUUUUAUAAUUAUUACAAAAACUCUGAUUUAAACAUGCCUGUAUAGCUACGAUACAUAAUAUUUAAUGUUUUUUGCAAGUUUCAAUUAAAGAAAAAUGGUCAAGUAUAUUUUAAACUCAGUGUAUUUUGU